CAAGUCGAGCGAGAAUCUUCUGAACGAUCCUUCGGGUGAGUGAAGAAGAGGAGAGCGGCGGACGGGUGAGUAACGCGUGGGUAACCUGCCCUAUGGAGGGGGAUAACGCAGAGAAAUUUGCGCUAAUACCGCAUAAGCGCACAGUAUCGCAUGAUACAGUGUGAAAAACUCCGGUGCCAUAGGAUGGACCCGCGUCAGAUUAGCUAGUUGGUGGGAUAAAAGCUCACCAAGGCGACGAUCUGUAGCCGACCUGAGAGGGUGAUCGGCCACAUUGGGACUGAGACACGGCCCAAACUCCUACGGGAGGCAGCAGUGGGGGAUACUGCACAAUGGGCGAAAGCCUGAUGCAGCAACGCCGCGUGAAGGAAGAC
rnacentral:rRNA from 1 species